AACGAACGCUGGCGGCAGGCUUAACACAUGCAAGUCGAACGGGUGCAGCAAUGCAUCAGUGGCAGACGGGUGAGUAACACGUGGGAACCUUCCUAGGGGUACGGAACAACUCAGGGAAACUUGAGCUAAUACCGUAUACGUCCGUGAGGAGAAAGAUUUAUCGCCCUUAGACGGGCCCGCGUCGGAUUAGCUAGUUGGUGGGGUAACGGCCUACCAAGGCGACGAUCCGUAGCUGAUCUUAGAGGAUGAUCAGCCACACUGGGACUGAGACACGGCCCAGACUCCUACGGGAGGCAGCAGUGGGGAAUCUUGGACAAUGGGCGCAAGCCUGAUCCAGCCAUGCCGCGUGAGUGAAGAAGGUCUUCGGAUUGUAAAGCUCUUUUGCCAGGGACGAUAAUGACGGUACCUGGAGAAUAAGCCCCGGCAAACUUCGUG
rnacentral:rRNA from 1 species